rnacentral:rRNA from 1 species
UACGUAGGGUGCGAGCGUUGUCCGGAAUUAUUGGGCGUAAAGGGCUCGUAGGCGGUCUGUCACGUCGGGAGUGAAAACUCAGGGCUUAACCCUGGGCCUGCUUCCGAUACGGGCUGACUAGAGGUAUGCAGGGGAGAACGGAAUUCCUGGUGUAGCGGUGAAAUGCGCAGAUAUCAGGAGGAACACCGGUGGCGAAGGCGGUUCUCUGGGCAUUACCUGACGCUGAGGAGCGAAAGUGUGGGGAGCGAACAGG